GCAUUCUGGCGGUGCCGGGAGCGGGGCGAGGAGGAGGGUGGGUAUGAGGCGGUAGCGGACCGCGGAGUCGAGACCUACCCGAACGACGCGGGCGAGCGGGGCUUUGGACGCCGGUGGAGACGCAGGCGAGCAGGAAGAAGAUGAGCCUUAGGUCUGAACGCCGAGGAAUUCAUGUGGAUCCUGUGCAAGAAAGGAUGUGGUUACUGUGGCAACCCUACCUGGCAGGGUUUCUGCUCCAAGUGCUGGAGGGAAGAGUAGCACAAAGCCAGGCAGAAGCAGAUUCAGGAGUACUGGGAGCUGGUGGAACGACUCCAGCGGGAGGAAGAAGAGGCCUUUGCCAGCAGUCAGAGCAGCCAAGGGGCCCAAUCCCUCACAUUCUCCAAGUUUGAAGGAAAGAAAACCAACAAGAAGACCCGCAAGGUUACCACAGUGAAGAAAUCUUCAGUACGUCUUCCAGGGUCGGAUCAAAGAAGGGUAAUGUUGUGAUACUCUUUUUUUUCUUCUCUGCCUGAGUGAGACACAGAGGAGAUCCCCAAUGCUCAUAGGCUCAGCUUUGUAAUUUCUGUCAACUUUUUGAGAACAUCAGCUCAGAUUUGACACUGAAAUUGGGUUUGAGGGUCAGACAGUAUAUGAAACCAAUACUCUCUUUGGUUGAAAGAUAUUGUGUUUUAGAGAAAUUUGUUUACUUUAUAGGAGGAAUAAAGAGAAUUGAAAUAGGUA
rnacentral:lncRNA from 1 species